UACAGAGGUCUCAAGCGUUGUUCGGAUUCAUUGGGCGUAAAGGGCGCGUAGGCGGCGGGGUAAGUCGGGUGUGAAAUCUCAGAGCUCAACCCUGAAACUGCACUCGAUACUGCUCUGCUUGAGGACUGGAGAGGAGACUGGAAUUCACGGUGUAGCAGUGAAAUGCGUAGAUAUCGUGAGGAAGACCAGUGGCGAAGGCGGGUCUCUGGACAGUUCCUGACGCUGAGGCGCGAAGGCCAGGGGAGCAAACGGG
rnacentral:rRNA from 1 species